AACAUGACUCUUGGCAAUGGAUAUUUUGGCUCUUGCAUCGAUGAAGAGGGCAGCGAAAUACGAUACAUGGUGGGAAUUGCAGAAUACCGUGAACCAUCGAGUCU
rnacentral:rRNA from 1 species